rnacentral:rRNA from 1 species
UACGAAGGGGGCUAGCGUUGUUCGGAUUUACUGGGCGUAAAGCGCACGUAGGCGGAUUGUUAAGUUAGGGGUGAAAUCCUGGAGCUCAACUCCAGAACUGCCUUUAAUACUGGCAAUCUCGAGUCCGGAAGAGGUAAGUGGAACUCCUAGUGUAGAGGUGGAAUUCGUAGAUAUUAGGAAGAACACCAGUGGCGAAGGCGGCUUACUGGUCCGGUACUGACGCUGAAGUGCGAAAGCGUGGGGAGCAAACAGG